UCCCUCAGCGCGCAAGGGGGAGGGGGGCGGAAAAUUCUUGCAAAAUUCUUGAAUCUUAAUACUCUUAAUUCAACUUUUGGGAGAAUUUUCUUCUCGUGCUUGUUUAAAGAUGCCAGUUUAUGAAGAGAAGGACGGGUGUUUCACACCCUGGGAGCUGGGGGCCUUUAGACUCUUGGUGUCCUCUGCUAACAGGUUAUUGAGAAUGGCUGACACUUCUGUUUCAGAGGAGGCUUUUCGUUUUGCGGUUAGACUGCCAAAAGAAUUUUUGCUCAAUCUAGCCAAGUGUCAGUCAAAGCCAGAGGUAUGAGAGCGCCUAAAAGGCAGGAAAAUGGAUUUGUUGAGGAAAAUGCUAAAACUCCGGGAAAAGAGAACACAAGAAUUGCAGAGCUAUUUAGAUACCUGGCUUCCUCCAUAAUCGCAGCAGUGUUCAGAGGGAUACGGAGGUGUUUGAAGGAGCCUGAUCCAGUGAUUGUUCUUGGAACACAUCUACUGUGCCCUGAGAGCCUUUACCUCACUAUGGAAGAAGCAGUUCUAUUGUCAGAGUUUCAGAAAUUCAGAACGUGGGUGUCUUGCUAGCAGAUGCACUGAACAAAAUCCGCCGCUAAAUUCUUGCAGCAGCAUUACAAGCAUCUCACCAAAAGCCACAGCCUGCCUUGGAGUUCAUGCUGCUUAGAAGAAUCUAUAUUAUUCAACAGCCACGGAAAUGUUAAGAUAGGCACUAGAAAUACUCUUGUUUACUUAAAAGUGAGUUUUUAUUCUAAAUAGCACUUAGUAGUACACUGUGGUAAAAGGACCAAAAGCUGUGGAAAUAGUUUGACUGUCUUGAGUCUGACUGUAUUUCUGUUGCUCACAAUAAAUUUUUUAAAAGGAGAGUUACUAAAUGUACU
rnacentral:lncRNA from 1 species